rnacentral:lncRNA from 11 species
CUAGACCAAAGGAACUACCAAAUACUAAAACAUCAUCUUGUGCACUUUUUUUUUAUAGAGUGCCAACAGUUUUAAUGGCAAUGCAAUUGGUGGCAACAGCUUCGACAACAAUGCGAACAGCUUCGCAGCUGAUCCAGGAAGUGUAGACAGUUUUAAUAACAAUGCAAUUGGUGGUAACAGCUUUGACGGCAAUCAAAAUAGCUUUGCAGCUGAUCCUGGAAGUGCCAACAGUUUUAAUGGCAAUGCAAUUGGUGGCAACAGCUUCAACAACAAUGCUAACAGCUUUGCAGCUGAUCCAGGAAGUGUGGACAGUUUUAAUGGCAAUGCCAUUGGUGGUAACAGCUUUGAUGGCAAUCAGAACAGCUUUGCAGCAGCUCCAGGGAAUAUUGGCAGCUUUAAUGGUAACUCAGGGGGUGAUGACAGCUUCAACAACAAUGGCAAUACAAAUGAUGAACCUAUCAUAUUCUAUUAAAUGGCCACAGAAGUCCAGACACUCUCCAACCAAUGCCAUUCAGCAUUUUUUCGAUCAUUUCAUCUUGAAUGACCAUUGAAGGAAACUACCCUGACAUCACUACAGAUCCCCCCGUCCCCCUUACAAAUAAAUAAACCAAUAAUAUAUUCAAGCUAUAA